rnacentral:rRNA from 1 species
GACGAACGCUGGCGGCGUGCUUAACACAUGCCAGUCGAACGCUGAAGACCUGGCUUUUGUUGGGUUGGAUGAGUGGCGAACGGGUGAGUAACACGUGAGUAACCUGCCCUCUUCUUUGGGAUAACGCCCGGAAACGGGUGCUAAUACUGGAUAUUCACUGAUCUUCGCAUGGGGGUUGGUGGAAAGGUUUGUUCUGGUGGGGGAUGGGCUCGCGGCCUAUCAGCUUGUUGGUGGGGUGAUGGCCUACCAAGGCUUUGACGGGUAGCCGGCCUGGGAGGGUGACCGGUCACAUUGGGACUGAGAUACGGCCCAGACUCCUACGGGAGGCAGCAGUGGGGAAUAUUGCACAAUGGGCGAAAGCCUGAUGCAGCGACGCCGCGUGAGGGAUGGAGGCCUUCGGGUUGUAAACCUCUUUCGCGCAUGGUCAAGCCGCAACUGUGGGUUGUGGUGAGGGUAGUGGGUAAAGAAGCGCCGGCUAACUACGUG